UUACGGGAGGCAGCAGUGGGGAAUAUUGGGCAAUGGAGGAAACUCUGACCCAGCGACGCCGCGUGCGGGAUGAAGGCCUUCGGGUUGUAAACCGCUUUCAGCAGGGAAGAAGCGAAAGUGACGGUACCUGCAGAAGAAGCACCGGCUAACUAUGUGCCAGCAGCCGCGGUAAUA
rnacentral:rRNA from 1 species